GAUGAACGCUGGCGGCGUGCCUAAUACAUGCAAGUCGAGCGAACAGAUAAGGAGCUUGCUCCUUUGACGUUAGCGGCGGACGGGUGAGUAACACGUGGGUAACCUACCUAUAAGACUGGGAUAACUUCGGGAAACCGGAGCUAAUACCGGAUAAUAUUUCGAACCGCAUGGUUCGAUAGUGAAAGAUGGUUUUGCUAUCACUUAUAGAUGGACCCGCGCCGUAUUAGCUAGUUGGUAAGGUAACGGCUUACCAAGGCGACGAUCCGUAGCCGACCUGAGAGGGUGAUCGGCCACACUGGAACUGAGACACGGUCCAGACUCCUACGGGAGGCAGCAGUAGGGAAUCUUCCGCAAUGGGCGAAAGCCUGACGGAGCAACGCCGCGUGAGUGAUGAAGGUCUUCGGAUCGUAAAACUCUGUUAUUAGGGAAGAACAUACGUGUAAGUAACUGUGCACAUCUUGACGGUACCUAAUCAGAAAGCCACGGCUAACUACGUGCCAGCAGCCGCGGUAAUACGUAGGUGGCAAGCGUUAUCCGGAAUUAUUGGGCGUAAAGCGCGCGUAGGCGGUUUUUUAAGUCUGAUGUGAAAGCCCACGGCUCAACCGUGGAGGGUCAUUGGAAACUGGAAAACUUGAGUGCAGAAGAGGAAAGCGGAAUUCCAUGUGUAGCGGUGAAAUGCGCAGAGAUAUGGAGGAACACCAGUGGCGAAGGCGACUUUCUGGUCUGUAACUGACGCUGAUGUGCGAAAGCGUGGGGAUCAAACAGGAUUAGAUACCCUGGUAGUCCACGCCGUAAACGAUGAGUGCUAAGUGUUAGGGGGUUUCCGCCCCUUAGUGCUGCAGCUAACGCAUUAAGCACUCCGCCUGGGGAGUACGACCGCAAGGUUGAAACUCAAAGGAAUUGACGGGGACCCGCACAAGCGGUGGAGCAUGUGGUUUAAUUCGAAGCAACGCGAAGAACCUUACCAAAUCUUGACAUCCUUUGACAACUCUAGAGAUAGAGCUUUCCCCUUCGGGGGACAAAGUGACAGGUGGUGCAUGGUUGUCGUCAGCUCGUGUCGUGAGAUGUUGGGUUAAGUCCCGCAACGAGCGCAACCCUUAAGCUUAGUUGCCAUCAUUAAGUUGGGCACUCUAAGUUGACUGCCGGUGACAAACCGGAGGAAGGUGGGGAUGACGUCAAAUCAUCAUGCCCCUUAUGAUUUGGGCUACACACGUGCUACAAUGGACAAUACAAAGGGCAGCGAAACCGCGAGGUCAAGCAAAUCCCAUAAAGUUGUUCUCAGUUCGGAUUGUAGUCUGCAACUCGACUACAUGAAGCUGGAAUCGCUAGUAAUCGUAGAUCAGCAUGCUACGGUGAAUACGUUCCCGGGUCU
rnacentral:rRNA from 1 species